rnacentral:rRNA from 1 species
AUUGAACGCUGGCGGCAUGCUUUACACAUGCAAGUCGAACGGCAGCGCGGGCUUCGGCCUGGCGGCGAGUGGCGAACGGGUGAGUAAUAUAUCGGAACGUACCCAAGAGUGGGGGGUAACGUGGCGAAAGUUACGCUAAUACCGCAUACGAUCUAAGAAUGAAAGCAGGGGAUCGCAAGACCUUGUGCUCCUGGAGCGGCCGAUAUCUGAUUAGCUAGUUGGAGGGGUAAAGGCCCACCAAGGCAACGAUCAGUAGCUGGUCUGAGAGGACGACCAGCCACACUGGAACUGAGACACGUUCCAGACUCCUACGGGAGGCAGCAGUGGGGAAUUUUGGACAAUGGGGGCAACCCUGAUCCAGCAAUGCCGCGUGAGUGAAGAAGGCCUUCGGGUUGUAAAGCUCUUUUGUCAGGGAAGAAAAGGUCGUGGCUAAUAUCCACGACUGCUGACGGUACCUGAAGAAUAAGCACCGGCUAACUACGUGCCAGCCGCCGCCGUAAUAC